UACGAAGGGGGCUAGCGUUGUUCGGAUUUACUGGGCGUAAAGCGCACGUAGGCGGAUCGUUAAGUCGGGGGUGAAAUCCUGGAGCUCAACUCCAGAACUGCCUUCGAUACUGGCGAUCUUGAGUCCGGAAGAGGUGAGUGGAACUCCUAGUGUAGAGGUGGAAUUCGUAGAUAUUAGGAAGAGCACCAGUGGCGAAGGCGGCUCACUGGUCCGGUACUGACGCUGAGGUGCGAAAGCGUGGGGAGCAAACAGG
rnacentral:rRNA from 1 species